rnacentral:lncRNA from 9 species
AUGGGGAGAGCUGGACCAGGAGACAUGAGUGAAGAGAGGAGGCGGUGUGAGAAUGUGGAGGAUAUGGCACUCAUCCAUGUGACUGUGUCGCACUGGGGCUUCAUAAUCUAUGAACUCCUGAGUCCACUGAGUUCUAGGAACUAUGGAACAGUUAGCACAAAUAAACUUCCUUUAGCUCUGUGUUUUCUGCGUCUUAAAUGAGAAACUAUCUUACAGCAAGGAUGUCCGUUCAAGAUUAUGUUUGUGCAAUGCUCUGGACCAAUUAGUAUCUUUACCUUACUGAAUUGAAGUGCUGGCCGUGCUGCCAUUGUGAUGUCUUGCAAGUACUGACCGUAGAUAUCAUCUAGACUAGAGCUUUAGGAUAUCAAGAGUACAAAAACAGGCCUGUUUAAUAUUAGCUUUUUGUGGUCAAGCUCCAAACUUGACCAUUGUUCCAAGGAGAUUUUUUAAAAAGCUUGCUUUUUGAGAUUGGAUGCAAAGGACAGGUCACAAGUUUGAAUUUCUGAGAAGACUUGAAAUCAAGCUGUAUGCAAUCCUGAAUUUCAUGGGUAGAAUGGCCAUGGAUUUGUUUUCCAGUUCUUAUAAAACAGAAUUUGUGAAACGGCCAUCAGAUGAAAUUAAGAAGAGCUAAAUGUAGAGAAAUUUAAAGGAAAUAUGACUUUUUAUAGUGAGUAAUAUACUUAAUGAAGUUAUUCUUCCAAACUUCAUAAGAAGUGUAUAUAAAUUCACAGUCGCCCUUCUAAUCUCCUUCAGCUGUUGUAUGAGAGAAGAAGACCUUCACUUGGAAUCAGGCAUUCUGAAUUCGGAUCUUGUUUUUCACUACCAGAUAUGGGAGUGUGGUAAAGUCACUUAAAUGUUCUGAUUCUCAGUUCCCCCCUUCCAUUGCAAAAUGGGGAUAUAGUACAUCCUGCUGGUGCCUACUUUUGAGCUAGUGCAUCCAUCCCCCAGCUACUAAGAGGACUGGCUAAUAAUGAGUUUUGGCUGUCUCCUUGCCAGGAAAUGCCCCUGAAUGAGGUGCUUAUACCCACCUUCUUCCUCUGAUAGCUUACAGCCAAUGAGUAGCUAGUAUCGGUGAUGGAAAUUAAUGAUGCCUAUCUCACAGAGUUGUUAGGAUGAAAUAAGACAACAUGCUGAAAAUGCCAAGAAAGAAAGAAAGAAAGAGAGAGAGAGAAAGGAAGAAGAGAAAGAAAGGGAAGGAAAGGAAAGGAACUAAGAAAAUUAUAGGUUUGUAUCGCUAAUCGAUAAGGUUGGACUCAUCAAAGAAUGUAGUCAUGAUCUUUUACACUUUCUAAAGUCAGAAUUCUGGGUGGAAUUGUUGACAUAUGUAAAUGACAUUUAUUUGCUCAUAUGAGGAACAAGCUUUCUAAAUCCUCAAAAGAAACGCUAUCUCAUGGCAGUGCCAACGAACUGUGAGGUAAGAGGAUGUGUCCUCCAUGUUAGUCUGUCUUCCUUAACCACUUCCUGGCAAGUUGCACGUAUUCAUACUUUUAAAUAAGUAGAAUAUUUGACGUGGCUUCUCUUGAUCCAUUGGAAGCUAAUCGAAGAUUUUAUUUGAUUUGAGGGUUCAGAAUCAGCAACUAUAAGUAAUUCUCAAAUGAUAGUGAUAACAGUUUAGCUGUAUAUUGAAUGUGUAUCAUGUGUUGAUUAUUGUACAUCCAUUCAUCCUAUAAGUUAAUCCUUCAAGAUCAUUAUAAUUAUCCCAAAUUUGCACACAGGAACUGGAAAUGCUGUCACUGGAUGAAUUGCUGAAUGUCACACCACUGGUAAGACUCAGGGUUGGAAGCCAAGAUUGUCUGACCUGUGCUCUGUUGAGCUGAAUUAGGGCUACAUGAAGUUAAAUUCAUGUCUAUGUUUUUAUUUAUUUAUAUUUUUAUUUCAUAAAUUAGACCUGAGCCUAAACACCAGAACAUGGAAGAAGGGUAAGAAUAAUGGUAUGAACUGCUCUUAGCUCAGAUAUUUACAAGGAACCAGCCAAGAGAUUACAGAGAACCACUAAAAGAGAGCCCUUGUCUAUUGGUUAAUCAUAGCUGAGGAAGUGAAUGGUAUCAUUAUUUCAUAAAACCUGAGAAUAAGGGCUAAGGUGAGGGAUUGUCCUUAAUACUCACAGCUUGGGAAAGAAAAUUCUCCCAAACUUGGGUGCCCAGUUGCUCAAUUUUUUCAUGUCAUCGUGGGUACGUGAUUCAAAGGUAGAAAGAAGAUGUGGGUAGUGAGAAGUCUGGCAGAUUCAAUCACUGCAAAAGAUAAACACAAGCUACCAACAGUGGGAUCAGGUUAACCUGAGUUGAGGAAGCUAGGUAAAAAUGUUGUUGCUGAACAGAAGUGUUUCCAGUCUCCCAUGAAAUGUGUUUGGCACUAUCUCCUUUUUCCAUGAAUGCUGUCCAAAAUUGGUUACUGUUUGAGGAAUGUUGCUCAUUUUUUUUCUUCAAGGAUGGUGCUCAAACAACCUGAUACCUGCUAAUGUGAAUCUAUUUUCAAAAAAACAUUUCAGAAGCAUCAUAGAAUGACUGACUCGUGAAAAUUCUCCCUGGAUAUAUUAAUUUUUUUCUUAAUAAAUGCAC